UUUAAAAGCUUUGUGCUAACUUAUAGCAAGCAAGUAAACUUUGGCUUCCUUAUAGCUUAAAUAAGUACAGAUAAUGGGAAGUGGUGGUGGCGGAUUGAAUAUACUCCGGCACAAAAGUUGGCAUGUUUACGAUAAAAAUAACAUAGAAAGAGUUAAAAAAGAUGAAGAGAAUGCAAGAAAAGCCUCCGAGGAGAAACAAAGACGCUCUGAUAUUGCUAAUCAGGAGAAUAAGCUUCAACGCCUUCGUAAUAAGAAUAGUUCUAUAACUUUGUCUCGUUCCAAAAAAAAUAUUAAUUUAUUUCCCGACGUGGAGAAGGCGGGCCUAUUUUAUAUUCUUGUUUUCUAAUGUAUUAAUAUUAAUGUUUUAAGUCCGAAAAAGAAGCUAAAGAAAAGUAUGAAAAAAUUAAGGCCGAGAAUGCUAAGCAAAUCGAUUGGGAAAAGAAGAUAGGGAUUCUUAACUCUUUAGGCCAAAGCUCUUACGAAGCUAGCAAAAGGAAGCCUUGGUACGAAAAAAUUUGGAGCCGCGAUGGUAAACCGAGCACUGUAGAAUUAACGAUAAAUGAACAAGAGAAGCUAAAAGAUCUCAAGGUCAAAGAUCACUACGAUCCUCUUUCAGCUGUUAAAAGACGCCAUUCUAUAACUGCUGAUAUUCUUCCUUCCAAAAGUAUUAAUGAAAUCAAUUUUAAGAGAAAAAAAUUAAAAAAGGACAAGAAAAAAAAACCUGUAGAAACUGAGUUUUCUCAUAAUACUCAGGAAAAACAGGAAAAACUUCUUCAACUCCGGAAAGAAAGAAUGAUGAGAGAAAAUGCAGAACAUAUUCGAUCAAUGCAAUUGUUAGGAGUUUAUCAUACUAAUAAAGAAGAAGUUGAACUCGAUGAAAGAAAAAGAAAAUAUAAUAAUCAGUUCCACCCUGAAUUAGCCAGAAACAAGAGAUAAUAGAAUUACAUAUAUGGAACUCUCGUCUCGAAGUUACAUACAUUCAGCAGAAGUUAAUACCUUCUUGGUCAACACUUUUCUAGCCAUUUCCUGCCUCUGGAAUUUCUAACACCUUUUCUCAUUAAACUUGCCAUUCUACACACAAAAAUUAGUCUUUUUUUUUCUAA